CUCAUUCCUCCUCUGCAUUUAUUUGUUGAGGCAAAUGCCUGGGAGGGUUAUUAUAGAUUCCAUUCUUGUGGGAGAGGAAUUUCUUGGACUCAAAGUGGAGCAUUCAUCUUUUAAAUGGGACCGGUUAUAUAGUAACCUUCUUGAGAUGGUCAAGGAUCAUAUGGUGCCUAGAUUUAACUUCUUCAAGCCCUUCACUAUUGUUUUUCCCAGUUUGGAAGGUUGGGAGGAGGAUUUGGAUGCAGUAUCAAGAGUAGUUUAAUCUGAUAUUACUGAUGGUUCUAAAACCAUCACUAGUGUUGGGGCAGGGGUUUACUAUGAGG
rnacentral:lncRNA from 1 species